UAUCGGUGUAAGUAGAGUGGCGGACGGGUGAGUAACGCGUGGGAAUCUACCCAGUAGUGGGGGACAACUACCGGAAACGGUAGCUAAUACCGCAUACGCCCUAUGGGGGAAAGGCUUCGGCCGCUAUUGGAUGAGCCCGCGUCAGAUUAGCUAGUUGGUAGGGUAAAGGCCUACCAAGGCAACGAUCUGUAGCUGGUCUGAGAGGACGAACAGCCACACUGGGACUGAGACACGGCCCAGACUCCUACGGGAGGCAGCAGUGGGGAAUAUUGGACAAUGGGCGAAAGCCUGAUCCAGCAAUGCCGCGUGUGUGAAGAAGGCCUGCGGGUUGUAAAGCACUUUCAGUUGGGAAGAUGAUGACGUUACCAACAGAAGAAGCACCGGCUAAAUCCGUGCCAGCAGCCGCGGUAAUACGGAUGGUGCGAGCGUUAAUCGGAAUUACUGGGCGUAAAGCGCGCGUAGGCGGCUAAGUCAGUCAGAAGUGAAAGCCCCGGGCUCAACCUGGGAAUUGCUUUUGAUACUGCUUAGCUAGAGUUUGGUAGAGGAUAGUGGAAUUCCAGGUGUAGCGGUGAAGUGCGUAGAUAUCUGGAGGAACAUCAGUGGCGAAGGCGACUGUCUGGACCAAAACUGACGCUGAGGUGCGAAAGCGUGGGUAGCAAACAGGAUUAGAUACCCUGGUAG
rnacentral:rRNA from 1 species